rnacentral:lncRNA from 1 species
UCAUUGUGACCUGGGAGCCCUGCAUGAUGAAGGGAUGAUGGGUGAGCUACCAAGGCUAACAUUUUCCCGAGGACAUUGAGUUAGGGAAGUGGCCUCUCCUUGAGGGAAGGAGCCAGAUGACUUCUCAGAGAACAACAACCAUAUUCAAAAUAUUCUCAAGUUUCUUUUGUUUCUUCUUGUCUGCAUCUGAUAUCCAGGACAUUAUUCCACAGGAAAAGGUUAACAGGAAAUCAAGAUCGGCCCGGGCUAAGAGGAGGAUUGUAAGUGAUUCAGAAGCAAAGCUUAUUGAUCACGAAGCAUGACAGUGGAAGAAUUUCCUGAAAAUGGAAGGAGAAGAUGGUUUCACAGCAAAGCUACUAAUCUGAAACAGUAAAAGCAACAAACAAAUGCCCACUCCCCUUAGCUGACCAGAACACAAUCCUUGUGAAAUAUAAAAACAAUUAGGUACAUGUAACACAGGACACUGUUUUUCAAAUUUAAUGUUAACAGUGGGAUUAUUUGUUUUCCCUGCGACAAAUUUCUUUGUGGGAGUCUGAUAUAUCAAAUAGGAUUGGUAAAGUGAAGCAGGCACGGGCAUCUAGAAUUCUGCUGCUUCGUACUGCCCCUUCCCAGUCCCCAGUGGCCAGGAGAUGCCCCAUCAGAGCUCCAGGGCUCUCAGAUCAUUGUUUGAAAACUACUCAUCAGAAUGUCUCUUUGAAUCAGAGCUUGGAUUUCUGAUGCAUCGGACAUUUAAACUCUCCCCGUUUUGCCACCUCUCUUGCAGUGAGUUAACCUAAAACAUAAAGGGAAAAAGCAACAACAAAAAAGAUCAAAAAAGCCCAAACGAUCAAAAAAGGCACGCUGAAAUCUGUGUCCUCACCUAUUCAGAAAGUCAGGGGAAAAAAAGAUAAAAGAAUAAAUCCUAAGCAAAAGCAACUUUCCAUCGAGAUGACAAGUAAGAUAGCUUCUUCCCUUCUGCAUGUGAAUUGCAAUUCCGAUUUAUGAUCUGUGACAUGAUAAUCAAUCAGUCUUAACUGCAUUUUGCAGAUAGUAGCAGCUGUGGAGAUGGGUGCUGAAGUUGACGUUGCCCAGAGAUGAUGUCAUUUCUGGCAAACUCCCCUCAAAUGUGCUUUGAUCGAUGUGGUUGUUCUUUCCUCUGCUAAGUUGACGUGUACUUAACCUCAGGCAGGAAUCACGGUCAAGUCCGUUUAGGGGUCAGAUCCGAUGCAGCCAUGGAAAGCUAGAGAUUCUCAGUCCUGUCAUCCCUUGAUUUUACUUUUCUAGACACUAAGUAAAAAAAUGAGAGGAGAAGGAAGGGAAGCAAGGGACAGGAGUAGAGACUGCUGGUGUCAAGGACAACAGGGUGGAAGGCCAAAUGGAACAUCACAGUCAUCUUGAGUACCACUGCAUGCAAGAACAGCUACCUGAAAGUCAAUGAUGCAUUUAAGAUUUUUCUUCCUGGCCCAUAAUUCCCGUUUGGUUGAGAGUAUAGCUGCAUUAAGUAUAUGGUAAAUUUGCUGCAGGUGGCCCAGAAAACCUCCCCAGCGCUAACAAUCAAUUACCUCUCAGGACAGAAGCUGCUUCCUGUGCAGGAAAUGCGAGAUCUCUGCUCAGUGACAGAGGCUCAGGAAUUUCAUAGGACCUAUGGAUCUUCCAGUCCAACUGAGUGCAGAAAACUGCCAGGUUUCAUCUUCCUCCUUCUCUGCACCAAAAAACCUGAGACCGGGAUGCCAUGUAGCUGCUUCAGUUGGGAGAUGAUGCCAAGAACCACAAAUGAGGAAAUGAAGGGUCUGGCUCUUAUCACCUCUGAAUAGCAUGCCAUUCUCUUAGCCUCAUCUAAGAAACAGACUGUAGGGGAAGAGAAGAUCUAGAAUGUUGGUCACCAACCAAUGGCAGACAUUAUCAGACAAUUUGUGAGCAAGGAAGUCAGGAACUGUGAGCCACCUGCCAUCUUAAUUUGACAUCUAGUCUCACUACUUUCAAGCACCUCCACUUCAAAAUACUCUUACAAGUGAAUCACCAUUGUUAAAUGGAUCUUUGAAGGAAUUUUGACAACCAGACUGAAAACAAUCUAGACAUCUUAGAUAUUUGUGGCUUCACAGAAAAUAAAAUAAAACAACCCUUUUCAGCA